UACGUAGGCAGCGAGCGUUGUUCGGAGUUACUGGGCGUAAAGGGUGUGUAGGCGGUUGUUUAAGUUUGGUGUGAAAUCUCCCGGCUCAACUGGGAGGGUGCGCCGAAUACUGAAUGACUAGAGUGUGGGAGAGGUGAGUGGAAUUCCUGGUGUAGCGGUGAAAUGCGUAGAUAUCAGGAGGAACACCGGUGGUGUAGACGGCUCACUGGACCAUAACUGACGCUGAAACACGAAAGCGUGGGUAGCAAACAGG
rnacentral:rRNA from 1 species